UUUGUGAGAGAUUUAUCAGUGACGUCUAGUUUGGUCUGAGUUGAUCCAUUCAGAAUACCGCAGCCAGUUUUCGUAUCCUGAGUUUUCUUUACGGGCUGGCAGUGAUUCUGUCUGGGUACCUGCUUCGACGCGCAAAACCAUCGUCAUCUUGAUUCAAGAUGGCGUUGGCAAAACAGGAACCACUGUCGAUGGUGCUGCAGGAAUUCCGCGGGGAUGCCGAAGAGUUACGGGGUGGUGGAAGAAUUUCGACGUGGGAGCAACAAGGAGUGGGGAGAGGAUGGGAAAAGUAACAAUUAAAAGCCAGUAAUCCAGAGUUAACAGUUGUUUAAGUUCUUAAAUAAAUCUUUUAAGUGAAGCAUCCAGAAGUUUAAUUUUUGGUUGUCAGUGGUUCCGAACUCUUUGCGUAAACUUUUACAUUUAAUAGUUGGAAACAAUUCUUGAGCUUAGUUGUCAUUAGCACAAACCCUGCGAGUGGCCUAAAUUUUAUUUAAUAUAUUUGCAUAUUGGGAAAAAUCUUAUAUGCUUCAAUAAAUAUGUUCAGAAUUUAAAUAAUUACAAUAAUUGUCACUGAACAAAUCAAGCACCUAACACUAAAUUUAUGAUGUAUGAAAUAAAAAUUACUUUGCCACAAUUGCACUCUUCUACUAAUUAUGUAAUUAUAAUAAAACUUUCGUCCACUUUAUAGAAUAAACUUUACUUGCCUCAAUUUUUCUGUAGUAUCAAUGGAGAUACAGCUUAACUGCAAUUUCACAUACAAAGGGACUUUAGUCCCUAUUUUUCUUAAUUCCCGAGUUCUCUCACGACCGGGUCAGCACGGCUCGUACAAUCCAAGGUCUAAAGACCUUGGUACAAUCCUUGUCGGGCCAAAAGUUUCUCCAUUCUGCUCUCCUAGUCCCGCAGUUGAAGGGGGUUUUCGUGUGCAAAAGAUUUUCCGUAGAUUCUCUCCACACACUGAUCUAAAGUAGUCAAGUGUAGCAAAUAACGUGUGCGCUCCAUCACACAGCGGGAAAUAUGCUGUAUGUAUAUCAAUAAGAAAAUGAGCAGCUUUUUGUCGUUAUCUCUCUUUUAUUUUUUAAUGGAUAGGCCGAUGAUGUUCUUAUAGGGAUAGCAAACUUCAAGUUUAUUUUGGUUGUACUGUAUUCUUGACAAGAAACAUUCAUUGUGGAACUAUAUUCCUACCAGGUAGGUCAAAAAUGUCUUUAAAUUGUGUUAUACAAUUUAAUUAUUUUGCAUCUUUAUAAUGAAAUGCAUUGGGCUAAAACUAUAUUCUGCAUUAACCAAAUAUUAGUUGUAAAAUGAAAAUGACGGAAAACCGGGUAUAUUCUUAAUGAAUAAAUGGAAGUGAUUUUAUUCUAGGAAAUAAAAUUUCGCACAACUUUGUUGAAUUGAUCUGUUUCACAGAUUAUCAAUGACUUUGAUGUAAUGUGAUUCUUUUGCCAAUACGUUAUAGGAUACUGAUUUUAUAACUUGAAAAAAAUGCAACAAUUUUCUUUUCCUGGGUUUCAAUGUUCUCAACGUCAGUUUUUGUUAAUAUGCAAUAGAGUAAUAUAUUUAUUUACACCAGAAA